rnacentral:rRNA from 1 species
GACGAACGCUGGCGGCGUGCCUAAUACAUGCAAGUAGAACGCUGAAGAGAGGAGCUUGCUCUUCUUGGAUGAGUUGCGAACGGGUGAGUAACGCGUAGGUAACCUGCCUUGUAGCGGGGGAUAACUAUUGGAAACGAUAGCUAAUACCGCAUAACAAUGGAUGACACAUGUCAUUUAUUUGAAAGGGGCAAUUGCUCCACUACAAGAUGGACCUGCGUUGUAUUAGCUAGUAGGUGAGGUAAUGGCUCACCUAGGCGACGAUACAUAGCCGACCUGAGAGGGGGAUCGGCCAAACUGGAACUGAGAAACGGCCCAGACUCCUACGGGAGGCAGCAGUAGGGAAUCUUCGGCAAUGGGGCAACCCUGACCGAGCAACGCCGCGUGAGUGAAGAAGGUUUUCGGAUCGUAAAGCUCUGUUGUAAGUCAAGAACGGGUGUGAGAGUGGAAAGUUCACACUGUGACGGUAGCUUACCAGAAAGGGACGGCUAACUACGUG